rnacentral:rRNA from 1 species
CUACGGGGUGCAGCAGUGAGGAAUAUUGCACAAUGGGGGGAACCCUGAUGCAGCAACGCCGCGUGGAGGAUGACGCAUUUCGGUGUGUAAACUUCUUUUAUAUGUCAAGAAAAUGACUGUAGCAUAUGAAUAAGCACCGGCUAACUCCGUGCCAGCAGCCGCGGUAAUACGGAGGGUGCAAGCGUUACUCGGAAUCACUGGGCGUAAAGGACGCGUAGGCGGGUUGGAAAGUCAGGUGUGAAAUCCUACAGCUUAACUGUAGAACUGCACUUGAAACUUCUAAUCUAGAGUAUGGGAGGGGGAGAUGGAAUUAGUGGUGUAGGGGUAAAAUCCGUAGAUAUCACUAGGAAUACCUAAAGCGAAGGCGAUCUCCUGGAACAUUACUGACGCUAAGGCGUGAAAGCGUGGGGAGCAAACAGGAUUAGAUACCCUUGUAGUC